rnacentral:rRNA from 1 species
GAUGAACGCUGGCGGCGUGCCUAAUACAUGCCAGUCGAGCGAACAGACGAGGAGCUUGCUCCUCUGACGUUAGCGGCGGACGGGUGAGUAACACGUGGAUAACCUACCUAUAAGACUGGGAUAACUUCGGGAAACCGGAGCUAAUACCGGAUAAUAUAUUGAACCGCAUGGUUCAAUAGUGAAAGACGGUUUUGCCGUCACUUAUAGAUGGAUCCGCGCCGCAUUAGCUAGUUGGUAAGGUAACGGCUUACCAAGGCAACGAUGCGUAGCCGACCUGAGAGGGUGAUCGGCCACACUGGAACUGAGACACGGUCCAGACUCCUACGGGAGGCAGCAGUAGGGAAUCUUCCGCAAUGGGCGAAAGCCUGACGGAGCAACGCCGCGUGAGUGAUGAAGGUCUUCGGAUCGUAAAACUCUGUUAUUAGGGAAGAACAAAUGUGUAAGUAACUAUGCACGUCUUGACGGUACCUAAUCAGAAAGCCACGGCUAACUACGUG